ACAAACUUGGUCAUUUAGAGGAAGUAAAAGUCGUAACAAGGUUUCCGUAGGUGAACCUGCGGAAGGAUCAUUACCAAUCUCAGUGAGCCUGGACGAUUCGUUCAUGGUCUCACGAAAUCUUGUAUUUAAAACCCGCUCAUAUAACUAAAAACAUGUAGUAAUAUGAUAAUUAAAGAUCACUUUCAACAACGGAUCUCUUGGCUCUCUUAGAGGAAGUAAAAGUCGUAACAAGGUUUCCGUAGGUGAACCUGCGGAAGGAUCAUUACCAAUCUCAGUGAGCCUGGACGAUUCGUUCAUGGUCUCACGAAAUCUUGUAUUUAAAACCCGCUCAUAUAACUAAAAACAUGUAGUAAUAUGAUAAUUAAAGAUCACUUUCAACAACGGAUCUCUUGGCUCUCGCAUCGAUGAAGAACGCAGC
rnacentral:misc_RNA from 1 species